UCCUGGGUGGACCAGAGGCUAGCAUGCGGUGCUCUCACUGCUGCGGCCUUUGUUCGAUUCCUGGUCAGGGAG